UAUAUGUUAGGGGAUUUGUGCUUCUGAGUCGAUCAAAGGUUUGGAGUUGAUUAUCAGAAGUUGUACAUUCCGUUUAUAUGAGCUGUUUCUUUGUUUUUUAUUAUUUCUGUCAUCUUCUGUCUCUUUAAGACUCAGGCGUGUUCCUCUGGAUGGCUGCCAUGUUAAAGAGGGAGAUAAAACUAAGACGGCACAGCAGUGUGAUCUCAGGGUUUGAGCUGUGAAGAUCUGACUUUACGACGGCUGACAGAAGAAAAGUGAGGACAAAAGUGGCAGCAGCAGACCCCACGCCUUUAAACUGAUCACCUGAUCUGUGAACUAAGGAGCUGGACCAGGACAAACAUCUCAGUGUCAGCACCACUAUGAGACUUGCCGCCUUGCUGCUCCUGCUGUGCCUGUGCUCUGCUGCGGUGGCUUUGCAAUCUCAGUCUCCAUCCAACCCACCAAUCAAGUUACCUACUUGGGGAGAUGAGCACCCAAAAGCUAAGCGGGGAUACAUGAGAGUAGCAAGAGGAUUUGGAGCAAAAAGAAUACUUGGACCAUUAGUAGGAAAAGCAGGAGGAGGAGGAGGAUUUGGACUACCAUAAGGAGGAUGAUGUUUCAGGAUUUGGCCAAAAGGACCAAACCUGACCAAUCAGUGCCAAGAAAGCAGAAGUCAAAGAAUGUCUUUUAGUUUAA